rnacentral:rRNA from 1 species
CGAAGCACUGGAGAACGAAUCUUCGGAGGACUUUUAAAUUGACUGAGUGGCGGACGGGUGAGUAACGCGUGGGUAACCUGCCUCACACAGGGGGGAUAACAGUUGUUCUAAAAAGCUAAUACCGCAUAAGCCGGAAGGAUCGCAUGAUUCGGCCGGAAAAGAUUUAUCGGUGUGAGAUGGACCCGCGUCUGGUUAGCCAGUUGGCAGGGUAACGGCCUACCAAAGCGACGAUCAGUAGCCGGCCUGAGAGGGUGAACGGCCACAUUGGGACUGAGACACGGCCCAAACUCCUACGGGAGGCAGCAGUGGGGAAUAUUGCACAAUGGGGGAAUUUUUUAUGCAGCGACGCCGCGUGAGUGAAGAAGUAUUUCGGUAUGUAAAGCUCUAUUUUUUUGGAAGACAAUGACGGUACCUGACUAAGAAGCCCCGGCUAACUACGUGCCAGCAGCCGCGGUAAUACGUAGGGGGCAAGCGUUAUCCGGAUUUACUGGGUGUAAAGGGAGCGUAGACGGCCAGACAAGUCAGAAGUGAAAGCCCAGGGCUCAACCCUGGGACUGCUUUUGAAACUGCCGGGCUGGAGUGCAGGAGAGGUAAGCGGAAUUCCUA